rnacentral:lncRNA from 1 species
UAAAAAUAUGUAUGUUCAGCUGUCUAAGAGAGAGGAAAAACAUAAAUAGCGUAUUUCAUGCCUCAAUGGUAGUAUAAACCAUAAAAUACUUAUUUUGCUAUAAAAUAUAAAAGGUAGCUAUAGAAAAUAAUAUUUUAAAAUAAUUUUAGUUUAUAAUAAAUAGGGUGUAUACAUUUGCUAUAUGAGGUAAAAUUUUCAUUAAAAAAUGAACCAAAUCGAACCGAAUUAAUUCAAAACUGAGCGAAUCUGCCAAAUGUACACCCUAAUUCAACCUCCUUGACUAGUGAUAAGUUUACAUUAAAUACUCAAUGGCACACGUAUCCAUCAAAUACUGAAUCCGCCCGACCUCGAGUAUUCCACCAAGUACCUUUCACGCAAAUACAUGAUAACUCUGCCAUCAAAUACCAGAAAGUGGAUCACUUUUUAAUUGUGAAAUGGGUCUGCAUAAAAGUCAAGCAAAGAAGAAAAGUUGCGCUAGCAAAGUACUAAUAGCAUUCCAUGGACUGCUAAAGUAACUGUGAUUUAGUUCAGCUAUCCAAAGAAGUAAAGAGAUAGUAAUUUAAUGUCCUUCAAAGAAUCAGUAGAGCUUGGCCUAUAGCAAAUAUUCUUUGCUUUGAGUUCUUUAACUGAUCAAAAUGAACGAACAGAUUUCUUCACAGUUCUUUUCAUCACCAGCUCUUCCUCUUAGUAUAGGGAUCACGUAUUAAUAUAAUAGUAGUAACAAUUAUUAGUCGGUAAUCAUUUAAUGUUUUAUUAAUUAACUAAUUGGUUCACAUUUCAGAAUCCAAAUUGAGUUGCUCUGUAAUUUCUUAAAUAGUAUUAUAGCUCAAAAAUCCAGAUUGGGAUAAAUACUAUUUGAGUUAAAUACUAUUCAUGAAUACAGUAGCAAAAAGUACCUAAAAUUAGGACAGUCCAGCUGUACGCGCAUGUAUUCAUAUGUAUUUACGUCAUGUAUUCAUGAAUACAGUAACGGCAAUCCCUUAAAAAUAUGUAUGUUCAACUGUGUAAGAGAGAGGAAAAACAUAAAUAGCGUAUUUCAUGCAUCAAUGGUAAUAUAAACCAUAAAAUACUUAUUUUGCUAUAAAAUAUAAAAGGUAGCUAUAGAAAAUAAUAUUUUAAAAUAACUUUAGUUUAUAAUAAAUAGGGUAUAUACCUUUGCUAUAAGAGGUAAAAUUUUCAUUAAAAAAUGAACCAAAUCGAACCGAAUUAAUUCAAAACUGAGCGAACCUGCCAAAUAUACACCCUAAUUCAACCUCCUUGAAUAGUGAUAAGUUUACAUUAAAAAAAAAUGGCACACAUAUCCAUCAAAUACUGAAUCCGCCCGACCUUGAGUAUUCCACGAAGUGCUGUAUUACUUUAGUUUAUCAUCAAUCAAUUUAAUGGGUGUAAGCUAUUGAUUUAGAGAGAUUUUGAUUCAUAGCAUAUCGCAUACCCAAGGAAAUAAAAUUAAAAAACUAACUGUAUUGAAUGAGCAAUAAUUCCAAGAAACUAAGGCCCCGUUUGUUCAUUUUUUAAAAAUGUGUUUGUCCAUGAAAUUUUGCAAGUUUUUGAAAGUGAGUUUUUUAAAAAAUCACUUUUUCAAAAUUUUCAGAAAAACUUUUUUUCCUACUCGCAAAACUGCAAUAUU